rnacentral:rRNA from 1 species
UACGGAGGGUGCAAGCGUUGUUCGGAUUUACUGGGCGUAAAGGGCGCGUAGGCGGCCACCGCAAGUCGACUGUGAAAUCUCCGGGCUUAACCCGGAAAGGUCAGCCGAUACUGCGGGGCUAGAGUGCAGAAGGGGCAACUGGAAUUCUCGGUGUAGCGGUGAAAUGCGUAGAUAUCGAGAGGAACACCUGCGGCGAAGGCGGGUUGCUGGGCUGACACUGACGCUGAGGCGCGAAAGCUAGGGGAGCGAACGGGG